AUACAGGUCGUAUGGUUUUGUCCGGGAAAGAAGACGGAAUCUCCAUUACAUUAGGGAUAUUUAUUACCUUGUGUAUAUUUGGAAUUAUCCAAAUCUUUAGAGGAAUUGGAACAUCUGAUCCUAGAUGUUACUAUUAGCUAGUCUGUCACUGGUAAUAUAAAUGAAAACAUUUUGCAUUUCAUCGGUAAAGGCUUGAUGCAUUACUAAUAAUGGA
rnacentral:lncRNA from 1 species